GUGGGGAAUAUUGGACAAUGGGCGAAAGCCUGAUCCAGCCAUGCCGCGUGUGUGAAGAAGGUCUUCGGAUUGUAAAGCACUUUAAGUUGGGAGGAAGGGCAGUAAGUUAAUACCUUGCUGUUUUGACGUUACCGACAGAAUAAGCACCGGCUAACUUCGUGCCAGCAGCCGCGGUAAUACGAAGGGUGCAAGCGUUAAUCGGAAUUACUGGGCGUAACGCGCGCGUAGGUGGUUUUGUAAGUUGGAGGUGAAAUCCCCGGGCUCAACCUGGGAACUGCCUCCAAAACUGCAUGACUAGAGGACGGUAGAGGGUAGUGGAAUUUCCUGUGUAGCGGUGAAAUGCGUAGAUAUAGGAAGGAACACCAGUGGCGAAGGCGACUACCUGGACUGAUACUGACACUGAGGUGCGAAAGCGUGGGGAGCAAACAGGAUUAGAUACCCCUGUAGUCC
rnacentral:rRNA from 1 species